rnacentral:rRNA from 1 species
CUACGGGUGGCAGCAGGCGUGAAAACUUUGCAAUGUGCGAAAGCACGACAAGGUUAAUCCGAGUGGUUUGUGCUAAACGAACCUUUUGACAGUCCUAGAAACACUGUUGAAUAAGGGGUGGGCAAGUUCUGGUGUCAGCCGCCGCGGUAAAACCAGCACCUCAAGUGGUCAGGAUGAUUAUUGGGCCUAAAGCAUCCGUAGCCGGCUCUGUAAGUUUUCGGUUAAAUCUGUACGCUCAACGUACAGGCUGCCGGGAAUACUGCAGAGCUAGGGAGUGGGAGAGGUAGACGGUACUCGGUAGGAAGGGGUAAAAUCCUUUGAUCUAUUGAUGACCACCUGUGGCGAAGGCGGUCUACCAGAACACGUCCGACGGUGAGGGAUGAAAGCUGGGGGAGCAAACCGGAUUAGAUACCCCCGUAGUC